UCCGAGUUGUCCCCGGCAGUCUCCUUAGAGUCUCCGGCAUUACCCGCUGGCAACUAAGGACAGGGGUUGCGCUCGUUGCGGCACUUAAGCCAACACCUCACGGCACGAGCUGACGACAGCCAUGCAGCACCUGUGCUAGCCCCUUGCGGACACGGGCUUUCACCCGCUUUAACUAGCAUGUCAAACCCAGGUAAGGUUCUUCGCGUUGCAUCGAAUUAAGCCACAUGCUCCGCCGCUUGUGCGGGUCCCCGUCAAUUCCUUUGAGUUUUAGCCUUGCGGCCGUACUCCCCAGGCGGGGCGCUUAAUGCGUUAGCUGCGGCACAGAUCCCGUGGAAGGGAACCCACACCUAGCGCCCAACGUUUACGGCAUGGACUAC
rnacentral:misc_RNA from 1 species